rnacentral:rRNA from 1 species
AGUGAACGCUGGCGGUAGGCCUAACACAUGCAAGUCGAACGGCAGCACAGUAAGAGCUUGCUCUUACGGGUGGCGGGUGGCGGACGGGUGAGGCAUACAUCGGAAUCUACUUUUUCGUGGGGGAUAACGUAGGGAAACUUACGCUAAUACCGCAUACGACCUACGGGUGAAAGCAGGGGAUCUUCGCACCUUGCGCGAUUGAAUGAGCCGAUGCCGGAUUAGCUAGUUGGCGGGGUAAAGGCCCACCAAGGCGACGAUCCGUAGCUGGUCUGAGAGGAUGAUCAGCCACACUGGAACUGAGACACGGUCCAGACUCCUACGGGAGGCAGCAGUGGGGAAUAUUGGACAAUGGGCGCAAGCCUGAUCCAGCCAUACCGCGUGGGGGAAGAAGGCCCUCGGGUUGUAAAGCCCUUUUGUUGGGAAAGAAAAGCAGGAGGUUAAUACCCCGCUGUUCUGACGGUACCCAAAGAAUAAGCACCGGCUAACUUCGUG